CCAAAACAAAUAAUGUCUUUCCUUCCUAGAGCACUUUGAAUAGUGAAUUUACGUUUAUUUUCUAUUUGAUCUUUCAAAUCUCAGUGGGCAGACAGAAACAGAGAGCAAACUGAGGUUCAGGGAGGUACCCAGGGACAAUGCAAAACUUCAACUCUGGUCUUCUCUCUGAUGAUCUGACACCCUUCUACGUCACCACACUAAUCUUGUCACAUCAGGCAAGGACGUGAAUCAUCCCUUUGGUGGAUCCCCAACCACUGAUGUUGUCAUGGCUCGAUGAUCUUCCUUCUGACACAAAGCCUAACGCUACGUCACAAUGCGUACAUCACUCACCUCACUUCAUCUCAUCACGUAGACUUUGUAGCAUCUCACAUCAUCACAAGAAGAAGGCAUGUGGGGAAGCGCUGUUGGUGGCCCAUUUUUGCAACGUAGAGCCUGUCUCCUGUGAGAGACCCAGAAGCUCCUUCUUUGAUAAUUAGUCUCCUGCCUCGGUCAGAGCUGUUAAGAACUCUGUAUGAACUGCCACCACUUGUGGGUGUGUGGAACCCCGUGAGCUUCCUAUAGCUACAGCUGCAGGUGACAUUUUGAGACACUUCUGCAAGGCUUUCUCAACUUACCUUAAAGCAGUGGUUCUCAGACUUCAGUGUGCAUUCGAAUCACCUGGAGGGCUUGUUAAACCAGCUGGCUGGGCUCCACCUGGAGAGGUUUAUUCGUUAGGUCUGGGAUGCAUCCUAAGAAUCUGCAUAUCUAACAAGUUCCCAGGUGAUGCUGAUGCUGCUUGUCCUGAAGACACACUCCAAGCUCCACUGGGGUUUUUAGCUGAAAUGG
rnacentral:lncRNA from 1 species